UGGGGAAUUUUGGACAAUGGGGGAACCCAUGAUCCAGCCAUCCCGCGUGUGCGAUGAAGGCCUUCGGGUUGUAAAGCACUUUUGGCAGGAAAGAAACGUCGCGGGUUAAUACCCCGCGGGAACUGACGGUACCUGCAGAAUAAGCACCGGCUAACUACGUGCCAGCAGCCGCGGUAAUACGUAGGGUGCAAGCGUUAAUCGGAAUUACUGGGCGUAAAGCGUGCGCAGGCGGUUCGGAAAGAAAGAUGUGAAUCCCAGAGCUUAACUUUGGGAACUGCAUUUUUAACUACCGGGCUAGAGUGUGUCAGAGGGAGGUGGAAGUUCCGCGUGUAGCAGUGAAAUGCGUAGAUAUGCGGAGGAACACCGAUGGCGAGGCAGCCUCCUGGGCAUAACACUGACGCUCAUGCACG
rnacentral:rRNA from 1 species